rnacentral:lncRNA from 1 species
GUAGAGGAAGAGGGGCAGCCUCUUCAUCAGGGAUGGGUUCCCGAGGUGCAGGUCCGUCAGCUCCAGCACGGAUUUUCACCAUGACUCAGCAGGAGGCAGACACUUCGAACACAGUGGUGUCAGGUAAUCUCAUCAUUAGGUGUUCAGAGGUGUAUGCUUUGAUGGACCCCGGUGCUUCUCACUCUUUCAUUUCUUCUAGAGCCGCAGAGAGAUUGGGGUUGAUCGUAUCCGAGUUAGCGUGUCCUCUCUGGGUCAGUGGACCUAGAUGUGACCCAUCAUUGGCAGAGUCAGUCUGUCAGUUCAGUCCAG